rnacentral:rRNA from 1 species
UACGUAGGGUGCGAGCGUUAAUCGGAAUUACUGGGCGUAAAGCGUGCGCAGGCGGCGCGUUAAGACAGGUGUGAAAGCCCCGAGCUUAACUUGGGAAUUGCGCUUGUGACUGGCGAGCUGGAGUGUGGCAGAGGGAGGUGGAAUUCCACGUGUAGCAGUGAAAUGCGUAGAGAUGUGGAGGAACACCGAUGGCGAAGGCAGCCUCCUGGGCCAGCACUGACGCUGAGACGCGAAAGCGUGGGGAGCGAACAGG